GAUAGUUCACUUUCGGUAAAGGGUGAACACUCUUCAGACUCCACACUUUGGCUGAAUGCAGGGCAGGGGCCUGAAAAUGAGCUUAGUUCCCAAAAGAAGAUGCAAUCAUCAACAAGGCUGUAUUUGUCUUGACUCCUUGAAUAUGAGCACCAAACAUGAAGAGAAAUAAAUGACUGCACAGCUGGAUACAGUCUGUUGUUUUCUACAUACCACGCUUGUCUUCUUUAAGAUUAUGGGCAACAUGCUGAAAGACACCCCAAGAAAGGCUCUGGUUGGUGGAUCUCCGGGUUCAAAGAAAGAAA